GAUAGAGGCCUACCAUGGUGGUAACGGGUAACGGGGUGUUAGGGCACGACACCGGAGAGGGAGCCUGAGAAACGGCUACCACAUCCAAGGAUGGCAGCAGGCGCGCAAAUUACCCAAUCCCGACACGGGGAGGUAGUGACAAUAAAUAACAAUACGGGGUUCUUUAGGAUCUCGUAAUUGGAAUGAGUACAAUUUAAAUCUCUUAACGAGGAACAAUUGGAGGGCAAGUCUGGUGCCAGCAGCCGCGGUAAUUCCAGCUCCAAUAGCGCAUAUUAAAGUUGUUGCAGUUAAAAAGCUCGUAGUUGAAUUUCGGGGUUAGUAGGUUGGUCAUGCCUCUGGUAUGUACUGGUCUCACUGAUUCCUCCUUCCUGAUGAACCUUAAUGCCAUUAAUUUGGUGUUUUGGGGAAUUUGGACUGUUACUUUGAAAAAAUUAGAGUGUUUAAAGCAAGCUAACGCUUGAAUACAUUAGCAUGGAAUAAUGAAAUAGGACGUUUGAUCCUAUUUUGUUGGUUUCUAGGAUUGACGUAAUGAUUAAUAGGGAUAGUUGGGGGCAUUAGUAUUCAAUUGUCAGAGGUGAAAUUCUUGGAUUUAUUGAAGACUAACUACUGCGAAAGCAUUUGCCAAGGAUGUUUUCAUUAAUCAAGAACGAAAGUUAGGGGAUCGAAGACGAUCAGAUACCGUCGUAGUCUUAACCAUAAACUAUGCCGACUAGGGAUCGGAUGAUGUUAAUUUUUUAAUGACUCAUUCGGCGCCUUACGGGAACAG
rnacentral:rRNA from 1 species